UACGUAGGGUGCGAGCGUUGUCCGGAAUUAUUGGGCGUAAAGGGUUCGUAGGCGGCUUGUCGCGUCGUCCGUGAAAACUUGGGGCUCAACCCCAAGCUUGCGGUCGAUACGGGCAGGCUAGAGUUCGGUAGGGGAGACUGGAAUUCCUGGUGUAGCGGUGAAAUGCGCAGAUAUCAGGAGGAACACCGGUGGCGAAGGCGGGUCUCUGGGCCGAUACUGACGCUGAGGAGCGAAAGCGUGGGGAGCGAACAGG
rnacentral:rRNA from 1 species